AUGGUGCACGCGCCGGGCAUCCACUACCUCCCCGCUGUCUAUAAGACAACCCCAACGCCCGGGACGAACCCUAGUUGUCCUCCCCCCUUUCCCCCGCGUCGUUUUCUUCCUCUCCCGCACAUGUCUGAGCUCCACCCGCCAUGUCCAUCGUCGUCCUUGUGUCCAUCGUCCACCUCAUCGGUUGAGGCCUCUGUAGGAGCUGUGUGUGCUUCUCUACAUCGACUCCGAGGAGCAUCUCGAGCAGGAGAUCGCCACAGCACAAGGAUCGACGUCGUCUUCUACCUCCGGCCACCGUGGCUCCAUCGACGAAUUCUUCACCUUCACUGCAUCCCCGACUUCCUCGAGCUCCUCUCCCGACUCGCUAUGUCGGUGUCCAGGAGAUAG
rnacentral:rRNA from 1 species